rnacentral:tRNA from 1 species
GGGCGACUAGCUCAGUUGGUUAGAGCGUCUGCUUGACGUGCAGAAGGUCACAGGUUCGACUCCUGUGUCGCCCA